rnacentral:rRNA from 1 species
UUACGGCCAUAUCACGUUGAAACACCAGUUCUCGUAUGAUCACCGACGUUAAGCAACGUCGAGCCUAGUCAGUACCUUGAUGGGUGACCGCUUGCUAAUAACAGGCGCUGU